rnacentral:rRNA from 1 species
CCUACGGGAGGCAGCAGUGGGGAAUAUUGGACAAUGGAGGCAACUCUGAUCCAGCCAUGCCGCGUGCAGGAAGACUGCCCUAUGGGUUGUAAACUGCUUUUAUACAGGAAGAAACGGUUCUACGUGUAGAGCUUUGACGGUACUGUAAGAAUAAGGAUCGGCUAACUCCGUGCCAGCAGCCGCGGUAAU